UACGUAGGGGGCUAGCGUUGUUCGGAGUUACUGGGCGUAAAGGGCGUGUAGGCGGCGCAUCAAGUCAGGCGUGAAAGCCCUGGGCUCAACCCGGGAAUUGCGCUUGAGACUGGUGUGCUUGAGUACGGGAGAGGAUAGUGGAAUUCCCAGUGUAGAGGUGAAAUUCGUAGAUAUUGGGAAGAACACCGGUGGCGAAGGCGGCUAUCUGGGCCGUAACUGACGCUGAGGCGCGAAAGCGUGGGGAGCAAACGGG
rnacentral:rRNA from 1 species